GCCGCCGCGAGGAAGGGGCGGCGGCGGGGGGACCCCGCGCACGGCACGUGGCCCGCGGUGGGGUCGCCCCGCUAGCGCUCGGCCGGGCCCGGGCCCGCUGGGCGGCCUCGGGUGGGACGUCGGCCUUCCCAGGGCCCCCCUCUCCCCUCGCGCUCGUCGCCAGAGAGGGGGAAGGUGGCGCCCUCCCCCGAUGGGAUCCGGAACUUAAAAUCCGGAAACCACCAGGCCACGCCUGGCCUAACUUCGCAGGGUGGCCCUGAGCGCGGUGCUGGGCCUCACAGGCCUCCAUAUUCCCGACUCGGUUUAGCUCAGGCCCCCUCCAGGCCUGUGAACGUGCUGUUCUCUCUCUCCGGGACACUAUCCCCAGCUGCCCCAGGGCCAGCCCUGGCUUACUGUUUGGCUGUCAGGCCCACGAUGGUCCCUGGGGGGCUCUCUGGCCCUAGCCUCCUGGAAUGGUCUUGGACCCGGAUGUGAGCUCCUGAUAAUCUGACUUGGUCAGGCUGCCAGGUGAUGUGUUCCUGCAGCAUGGUUCUGGCCAGGCGGAGAACUGGGCCUUCCAGGCAGAAGGAACUGGGCAGAGCCUGGAGGGUUUAAUCCCAGGCUAAGCGUGGAGUUUACCUGGCAGGUCUCCUUCGGAUCAGAGGGCAGGUGAUGGACUGUUCCCUGUUGUUGCCCGGCCCGGUCUACCUACAAUAAGGUAACUUCUCCUUGGAUGCUCUGUGAAUGCCCUGAUCCCCAACAAACUUUGAUCCAGUGAUUUUUAGCAUGUGCGGAUGCUGCUUGCCUGAAUCAAUUAUCACUGAGGUGGUUUAACUGGUUUACAAGGUGCUUUGGGUUGGGGGAAGACCAUCCUAAUCAUUCCUCAAGGUCCUUCCAUGAGCCAAAGAACAGAAACUCCCCCCAAGCCUGUUUGCCUUCUGGGCACGCCCUGCCAGCUGGGAAUCCCCUACUCUAGUCAGGUGUUUGAUCCUUGGGAGAGACUGAGAGGAUGGAGAAACCAUUAGUUUCAUUUGCUAGAAGAGGAAGCUGAGGCCCAGGGAGAGGAGAGAAGUGGCCAGUAGUGGAAUAGCUCCUCCCGAGGAGUCUCUGGGCUCCAUGGACGAGGGUGGGCGUUUGGGAAGGAGACUUUCAGGCAGAAUAAUGGGCAGGGUUUCUGGGUCCAGGUUGGGGCUCUCUGACCCCUGACAGCCCCCCUCCCCGGUCCCUGUUAUCUGUGUAAGUUCUAGGUUGCCAAAUUUCGCAGAUAAAAAUAUAGGGUGCCCAGUUAAAUUUGAAUUUUAGUUAAACAAUGAACUUUUUUUUAGUAGUUAAGUAUGUCCCAGUUGCUGCAUCAAAAAUUACACUAAAACCUCAUGAUGUCUAGGAUGUUUGGACUGACACUCGGGUUGCCAAGUAAGAUAUAGGACAUCCAGUUCAAUUCUAAUUUCAGGGUACCGAUGAAUAAUUUUUAAACUCAGAUGUAGCGAAUAAAAGCAUGUGUGGCAGGUGUUGUCAGAUGCAAGAAAUGAGGCAGGUGACAUUGGUGGGCCUUGAAUGCUGGGAUGAGCUGCCCUUCUGUCAGAGUAGAUGACAGCCCUGGAAGAAGGGACUUGAGCUUGGAAGGCCCUUGCCAGACAGUUCUAGAAAGCUCCCUCUGGGGGCAUCUGGCUGGCUCAGUUGGUAGAGCAUGCGACUGUCGAUCUCGGGUCGUGAGUCCAAGCCCCAAAGAGAAAGCUUCCUCUGGCUGUGGGAGGCGGGGAGUGUGGGCAGAGGCGAGCAAGACUGAAGGUCAGGGACCAAUCAGGGGGCAGCUGCAGUGACCAGUGACAUGCCAUAAGGUUCAGACUAAUGCUCAGGGGAUGUAAAGAGCGUUCAGGGGGCGGGCAGGACCUAUGGGGCCUGAGGUCCACCAGGUCAGGAAGGGGGGCAGGAGGCCUCUGGCCUGGCA